GGGGAAGGAAAAAAUGGGCAAGGGAACUCAGCUGUGCUCCCUAGUCCUGGUGGUGGUGGGCACUCAAUAGUCGUGCUAAGUCCUGAAUUUUUAGUCCGAAACAGUUGCGCCUAGAUGUGCACCCUCAGAGAUCCUUAAUUCUGUCCCUACAGUGCUCAGCCCGUCUGCUGGGAAGGAAGCCUCCCUUUGAAGUUAGGGCUUUCGUCCUGAGCACGUUAGCCAGGGAGGAAUUGAGGAUGGCUCCGUCUAAGUAAACACGCUUAGGAUGGCAAUCGCAGAGUGCUGGGGGUUCGCGCCUGUGCGUCCUCCGGAGUCCGUCUCCCAAGAUAUUGCAGGCAUCUCCAGCCCGAGCAAACGUUUGACCAGCCGCGUCCUUGUCUUCACCUCUUCAGGCACGGAAAGCACACGCGCCACCCCGACGCCUCCUUUUCUGCCCGCUUUGUCUCCCCCAUCUAAUUAGUAAUCCAGGGGGUAAUAUUAAGACAAAGAGUGUCACGAACAAGUCUGCAGGCUCAGAUCAACCGAAGCACCUCCGAGGAAGCUGCCCUGUCUAUGCUUUGCUUGGGCUCCGGCGGCGGAGCUGAGGGAAUCACGCCAAGGCGACACACACACCGCAAGCAAAGAAAACGAGCCGCCAGGAGAAGCGUGGCGGGCAGAGGCGAGCCGGGGCGGGCGGCCGACAAAUGGACGGACGGGCGGGCGGGCGGGAGAAGGCGUGCGCGGCGCUUUAGCUGCUCUCCGCGUAGCCCUGCGGGCUCCGGCGCCGCUUAUUUCCGAGCGCCGCUUAUCUGCCUCGAAAAUGUCAUCCCGCGCACGGCCGGCUGAUGGGGAGGAAGGGAACGCGCCUUUUCGCUUGAGGAAAAGAGCGGAGGAGAGAGCCGAGCGAGGAAGACCGGAGGCGAGGAAGACGGCACCUUUCGUCGCCGCGGCGUACCCGCCGAGCGCAGCCAAGCAAGCUCAAGCCGGCCUGCGGCCUCCCUGCCCAGAUGAGACAAUAGAUGCUUCCUAUCGGUGUCUCAGUUACUGA
rnacentral:lncRNA from 1 species